UACGUAGGGUGCUAGCGUUGUCCGGAAUCAUUGGGCGUAAAGAGCGUGUAGGCGGUCCGGUAAGUCCGCUGUGAAAGUCGGGGGCUCAACCCUCGAAUGCCGGUGGAUACUGUCGGGCUAGAGUGCGGAAGAGGCGAGUGGAAUUCCUGGUGUAGCGGUGAAAUGCGCAGAUAUCAGGAGGAACACCAAUUGCGAAGGCAGCUCGCUGGGACGUUACUGACGCUGAGACGCGAAAGCGUGGGGAGCAAACAGG
rnacentral:rRNA from 1 species